CAAUUGAGUGGAGUGAUGGAACUCACCUAGUUAGGAGUCCCAUAGCUGUUAAGUGGCAUCAAGGAUCAUCCAAAUCUUCCAUUUGAAUUGCAGAGUGGGGAUUGCAUGAUUGUCUCAAAACAGAGAGGAAUGAGCAUUUGGAUAUAAGAAUUUGCUAUGUCUUCAAUUUGUGUGGUUCUAUUCGUGUAUGCAAUCUGUCAGGCUAUUGUACAAAAUUAAAU
rnacentral:misc_RNA from 1 species